UUCUCUCUCAAGUUUCUCUCUCUGGAGUGCGUUCCAAAAUCUAACUAUAGUAAUUAUAACUCUACAGUUGACGUCACGUAAACUAUAGAGUUUUGGUAACUGUGGUUACGUUUUGGAACGUAGCUCUAGUAGCUAGUUGCAUGGAGAUUGAUGGAAAUCCGGCUUUAAUCGAGGCUAAAGGAUUUCUAAAAAAUUGAGAUUGUCGACGAGGAGAAAAAUAACAUACAUGGCAGGAUAGAGGCGCGUGGAGUUGAAGCGUGACUUGUGCAACGAUUUCGCAAGCUUGAGGCCAUCAAGCAAGACUCCUUGAAAUACAUCGUAUUUGUUACCGACACGCCUGAAGCCGCAUCUGCCGUGCCGUUCGGGAUUAUGAGCUGUGGCGGUCUUAACCUUUACUGACAGUUCCGCAUAUUCAGGUCACAUAAGAAACACCAAAAAUGCAGACGAUAAAGUGUGUUGUGGUAGGCGAUGGAGCAGUUGGUAAAACAUGUCUCUUGAUUUCGUAUACCACAAACAAGUUUCCUUCUGAAUAUGUGCCUACUGUUUUUGACAACUAUGCAGUAACUGUAAUGAUAGGAGGUGACCCAUAUACAUUAGGAUUAUUUGAUACAGCAGGUCAGGAAGAUUAUGAUAGAUUGCGUCCUUUAAGUUAUCCUCAGACUGACGUGUUUCUUGUGUGCUUCUCAGUUGUGUCACCGUCAUCAUUUGAAAAUGUAAAAGAAAAGUGGGUACCAGAAAUAACGCAUCAUUGUCAGAGAACUCCAUUUUUACUUGUCGGAACUCAAAUUGAUUUAAGAGAUGAUGUUGCAACAACAGAGAAACUUGCAAAGAACAAACAGAAGCCAAUAUCUGGUGAACAGGGGGAAAAACUUGCUAAGGAACUCAAGGCUGUAAAAUAUGUAGAGUGCAGUGCUCUGACGCAGAAAGGAUUGAAGAAUGUAUUCGAUGAAGCUAUUUUAGCUGCAUUGGAACCGCCCGAGCCAGUGAAGAAGAGGAAGUGUAUACUUCUGUAAGGUGACAAAAUGUUACCAUCGAUGGAAUUCAUGUCCGAUUUCAAACCGACACUGUAGUACCAGGCGACGAUCUUGAACGGAGUUAUGGAGAAACAAAUAAAGAUUGGUGCUAUUGUUCAACAAUAUUUUUUUAAGUCGAAACAUUUACCGAGAUGAGGUAUCUGAGUCGCAUCGAUAUCUGAUAGAGUACUCAUUUGAGUAAUAGGAGUGUUCAAAUAUCUUUCGCUAAAGCGAUGAUUGUUUCGGUACGUAUUAGAAUGAAAUUUCCGUUCUUGGCGACGUCAGUAUUAGAAGCUCUAUGGUGAAUGUGUAAAAUGAUAAGUAUCAUAGCAGUAUCACUAGAUAUAUUAUCAAUUACAUGUGACACAAAAAAACUACUACUAAUUCUAACAACCUAUCUUAUUAUAAAGUAUCUUUAUUGAUAUUGGAGACUCUUAUCGCGACACUGCAAACUUAUUUGGAUAUUAGUAUAAUUUCAAAAUGGAAGUUAUUAUAAUGAAUAAUUUUAUCAUUUAUCUUUUUUAAAGUGUUAUCGCAAAAAUUCUCUAAUAUCAAUAAUAAAUUAAUAAUAAUAUUAAUAAUAAAUCUUCGAUCACAUCUUUUAAAUUAUAUACGGCAGCUGUCUUGAAGAGAGAAAGCUUUCGAGAAAACCGAUCAAUUUUUUUGUAUAUCUUUGAAUGCUGUUUUCCUAUAUGGCAAAGUAUUUUCAGCAACUUUACAACCAUUUAAUAAAUCAGAAUUAAAGAGCUUCUAAACCAAUGUUAGCCUCCCUUUCAGUAACUGUACUGGAUGCGUUUAGUACAUGAUGGAAAGCUUUAAAAUUACUUAAAUGAUCAUACGAAGGAAGAAAAGGAUUGCCUGCAGAUGAGGGAGAAUAAGAUAACUGGGGAGUAAAGCAAUGGCACGCUGUAUCAAUUUUGGACAACGUAAACAAUAUUUAAGAUUCCCCCUAAGAUUGUAUACACGAUUUUUUUCAGUUAUCAUACAAUGUUGCAUGCAACGAAUUUAUAAGCGAUUCACAUCUGGCAGCAUGCGACCGGCUGAUUUUUUGUAAUUGUCUGAAUUGUCGCAUAUCAUUAGUACUAUUAACAUGAUGCGCGUUGCAUGAUGUGCAUUCGAUAUGUAAACAUCGAUUGCAGAGGUUGUUGGGAGAGAAAGCAUUUUAUCAAAAAGGAUUAAUCAACUUUUACACUAUGGAUUCAGUUAAAAAUAACAGCAUUUAUUAGCACUAUAAUGUGUCGUAAUAUAUAGACACGAUCAUGUAACGAAAUAUUCGCAUAAAUAUAUUUAUACCAUGUAUAUGACGUCCGUUUUUUACUCAUUAAGGUAAGGUCUGAUUCUUUCGGAUUAAUGCAUUUUGUAUUAUCUUUAUCUCCUUUAUUAAAAGCAGUUACUGACACUAUCCCAAGAAGUAAGAACUAUUCUAGAGAUUGUGUUUAGAUCGAUAUUGAAAAUUAUAGAUAAUAUUUAUAAGACUCGUUAAUUAAUAAGUUAAUAAAAUUCUGCUACAUUUCACAAUAAAGUGGGAUUAAUAAUUGUGUUAAAUAAGAUUAAGGUAAAUUUGUGAAUAUGAUGAGAAUAUUACACUUUCAAUAAAUAUGAAUACAUAUCCCGUA
rnacentral:misc_RNA from 1 species